AGAGUUUGAUCCUGGCUCAGGACGAACGCUGGCGGCGUGCCUAACACAUGCAAGUCGAGCGAUGAAGCCCUUCGGGGUGAAUUAGCGGCGGACGGGUGAGUAACACGUGGGUAACCUGCCUUAUAGAGGGGGAUAGCCUUCCGAAAGGAAGAUUAAUACCGCAUGAAAUGUUUUUAUCGCAUGGUAGAAACAUCAAAGGAGUAAUCCGCUAUAAGAUGGACCCGCGGCGCAUUAGCUAGUUGGUGAGGUAACGGCCCACCAAGGC
rnacentral:rRNA from 1 species